AGGACAGAAGAGGCCACUGAUGAAAACCUGAGGAAAGUCUUAUUCCGGAUUAAUCCAUACCAGAUUAAACAUGAAAGAUACUCACAGACAGAACAACUCACCUUCAGAACGGGUCAUAAGGCAGCAGUCAGACUGAGUCCUGCAGCUCUGUACUAACUGCAAAGAAAAAGAGGAGCAAAAGACGUGUCUGUGUGACUGGACCAGAAGCAGGGCCUGAGUCCCGCAGCGUGGGGACGGCCCCGCACCGCCACGCUCCUCCAUCAUCAUCAUCAUCCUCAUGUCAGUGGGCUAACGGCUAGCAGGGCCGCUAUGUAGCGCAGAAUAUUCCAGAAACACCGAACAGAUACGCAGAAACUCACCCGAGGUGUUAAAUCCUUCUGAUUGUCCCAAAUAAAAACAUCUAAACUGGCUCCGUGGAAAUCCUCGCUGCCAUCCAGGCUCGGUGUCCCGGUUUGUGGCUAGUUGUCCACGGGGGACCACUUCCUUUACCUGGGCCUCUGCUACGCUAAAUUAUUUACGCUAUCUGCGCAGCCGCAGUUGUUCAACCCGAACGCUAACCUACGUAAGUGGACCAGAAUAGGCUUUCUGCGUACGGAGCUCACCCGCCUCAGACGGAAACUGCACAUUCCAGAGGUGUAGAGAGAUUAUUUAGGGCCGUGGGAGGCCUUUAAAAUACUGAAAAUAUCUUGGAAAAUAACAACAAAGGUUCUUAAAACAACAGUGAUUAUAAGUAACAGAGAUAAAACAAGAGUGACGCAAUCAAAUUUUUUGCUCCUUUAAAAAUGAAGUAUUUUGAAAAGUUGUUCUUUUGAUUGUAUAAACUGUGCUAAUUAUGUGUGUAAGAACUUUAAAAAAGGACCAUAAUCGCAAAAUAAAAUAAGUGGUUUAAAUAA